rnacentral:tRNA from 2 species
GCACCAAUAGCUCAACUGGAUAGAGCGCCAGCCUUCGAAGCUGUCGGUUGGGGGUUCGACUCCCUCUUGGUGCA